UACAGAGGUGGCAAGCGUUGUUCGGAAUUACUGGGCGUAAAGGGCGCGUAGGCGGUCCCGUCAGUCCCUUGUGAAAUCCCCCGGCUCAACUGGGGAACUGCAAGGGAUACAGCGGGGCUUGAGUUCGGGAGAGGGAAGCGGAAUUCCGGGUGUAGCGGUGAAAUGCGUAGAUAUCUGGAGGAACACCGGUGGCGAAGGCGGCAUCCUGGACCGACAUUGACGCUGAGGCGCGAAAGCCAGGGGAGCAAACGGG
rnacentral:rRNA from 1 species